rnacentral:rRNA from 1 species
UACAGAGGUCCCAAGCGUUGUUCGGAUUCACUGGGCGUAAAGGGUGCGUAGGUGGUGGCGUAAGUCGGAUGUGAAAUCUCGGAGCUUAACUCCGAAAUGGCAUUGGAAACUGCGUCGCUUGAGGGUCGGAGGGGGGACUGGAAUACUUGGUGUAGCAGUGAAAUGCGUAGAUAUCAAGUGGAACACCAGUGGCGAAGGCGAGUCCCUGGACGACUCCUGACACUGAGGCACGAAAGCUAGGGGAGCAAACAGG